rnacentral:lncRNA from 1 species
CAAAUUAUGAAACUCAUGAUAUUUUGGCUUAUAAAUUUUAGGAAAAACUUCAAAUACUCCCCUUGUGGUUUCACUCUUUCUCACUUUAGUACCAUGUGGUUUAAAGUGUAUCAAGUUAGCACCCUGUGGUUUCGCACUUUCUCACUUUAGUACCCUGUGGUUUAAAGUGUAUCAAGUUAGUACCCUGUGGUUUCACACUUUCUCACUUUAGUACCUUGUGGUUUCACACUUUUUCACUUUAGUAUCCUGUGGUUUAAUAUUUCAUUAAGAGAAAAAUAAAACCACAGGGCACUAACUUGAUACAAAAAUAAAACCACAAGGUACUAACUUGAUAUAAAAAUAAAACCACAGAAUACUAACUUGAUACACUUUAAACCACAGGGUACUAAAAUGGGAAAGUGCGAAACCACGGGGUACUAACUUGAUACAUUUUAAACUAUAGGGUACUAAAAUAAAAAAAUACGAAACCACAGGUGAGUUUUUUGAAGUUUUCACUAAAUUUUAAUUUUUGUAAUGUUUUCUUUAAAAUUUAUAUCUUAUUAUAAUUAAAGUCUCACGAUUCAAUUUAGUUGGCUAAAUAUUGUUGAAACACCGGCUACCAUAAGCAC